GAUGAACGCUGGCGGCGUGCUUAACACAUGCAAGUCGAACGUGAGAGGUAGCAAUAUCUUGAAAGUGGCGAACGGUGAGUAACACGUAGGUAACCCGCCUCGGAGUGGGGGAUAACAGUUACGAAAUGACUGCUAAAUACCGCAUGAAUCCAUCAUUUGGGGACAAACGGUGGAGAAAACUCUGGUGCUUCGAGAGGGGCCUGCGGCCGAUUAGCUAGUUGGUGGGUAAAGGCCUACCAAGGCGACGAUCGGUAGCUGGUCUGAGAGGACGAUCAGCCACACGGGAACUGAGACACGGUCCCGACUCCUACGGGGGCAGCAGUGAGGAAUAUUGGGCAAUGGGCGGAAGCCUGACCCAGCAACGCCGCGUGGAGGAUUGAAGGCCUUCGGGUUGUAAAC
rnacentral:rRNA from 1 species